rnacentral:rRNA from 1 species
UACGUAGGGUGCGAGCGUUGUCCGGAAUUACUGGGCGUAAAGAGCUCGUAGGUGGUUUGUCGCGUUGUUCGUGAAAACUCACAGCUUAACUGUGGGCGUGCGGGCGAUACGGGCAGACUGGAGUACUGCAGGGGAGACUGGAAUUCCUGGUGUAGCGGUGAAAUGCGCAGAUAUCGGGAGGAACACCGGUGGCGAAGGCGGUUCUCUGGGCCUUACCUGACGCUGAGGAGCGAAAGCGUGGGGAGCGAACAGG